rnacentral:lncRNA from 1 species
AAUAAAGAAGAGUUCAGACAAUCUGGGAAAAUCCUUAUCUUCCAGUUCUAUUGGUUCUAAUUCAACAUACCUGACUUCAAAAUCCAAAUCCACAUCAAACACCUACCAUAAAAGGAACAGCCAUUCUGAUAAUGUCUUCUAAGAACAUAUCCUCACCAGUGGUCGAACAUUCAAGACAAUGUUUUUCUUGACAAGCCUUCAA